ACACACUCAGAGAUAUCCGCAUGGAUGGAGCAUCCAAUCUCAGCAGGCAGAGGCUGUAGGAGGGAGAUCCUGAUAAGGAAUACGGAACUAGUAAGCCACCACCAAUAGGAAGAGUUCUGGAAAGGUUGAAAGGAGACACCGCAUGUCUGUCCACUUCACAGAAUCCCUCUUGCUAGCAUCCAUCUUGGCUGAGCGAUGCGUGCGCCAAGACUCUGAAUUAGAAUGAUUGGCCAAAGACCACCCGGAAACUAAUCCCAUCACCAUAAAACCCGAGACUGCAAGCCACGAGGCAGAACUGUUCUCCUGGGUUCCCUUACCCUACUGCUCUCCACCCGGGUGCCCUUCCCAAUAAAACCUCUUGCUUUGUCAGCACAUGUCUCAUCGAACAAUUAUUUUCCGAGUGUUAGACAAGAGCCCAGUUUCAGGCCCUGGAAGGGGUCCCCUUUCCUGCAACAACUGCAGCAUCCCAGCCCAACAUCACAGCCCCGACCAGUACUAUGGGGACAAACAGGCCCAGGUUCAAAGCAAGAGCCUGUCAUUUACUGGAUGUGAUCCUUGAGGCCCAGUCCUUUUGUCUGCAAAAUGGGACAACAGUCAAUGUAAGAAUAGCUGGAGACAAGGCUGUGGAGUUCCCACAGGCAUGGUGCCUGGCACAGAGUAGAUGUCAAUAACCGUGAGGGCUUUUCCUGCAGAAGACCUUCACAUUCCAAUGAGCAUUGCAUAAGGACUCUCCUGUUAUUGUGACACUGGUGGGCCUGGCACAGCCUUGUUUCUAGGCUUCUGGCUGGGACUGUUGUUCCUAGAGCCUGUUGGGCAGUGGGGACAGAGCCAAGGUACCCUACUGGAAUAGUGGAAUCCCUGCCUAGAACUCCAUGUCCCUGACGUCAGGUGCAAACACAAAUGCACCAGGCUCUGGGGGAAAGGCCAUUCUUCCUUCUUUGUUGUGGGCUGACUAUGUAUGUUUUGGUGGGGGAGACAGGGUACCUUCUUCUCCUCUCUGAUUGCCUCACUGAGUUUCUAUCUCAUCAAAGCUCAGAAAGCAAGGGUUGCUAUGAACAAGGGAACUUGAGGAUCCUAUCCCUCAAACCCAGGGACCACCAUCAGUGGGAGUCUGGUGUGAUGUGCAGGUGUAUGCACGUGUAAGUAUGGAUGUAUGUGUGGCAUGGCGUGUGGUGAGUGUAGGCAUGCUAAAGUAUCAUGUGUGGUGUGUCUUUGUAGGCAAUGUGUGGUCUAUAAAUGAUGAAGGGUAAUUGGAGGGCUGCGCCUAUAGGUAUGUGUAUGGCGUGUGCAUGCGUAUGGCGUGUGCACGUGUACAGCGUGUGCAUGUGACUUUCGUGUAUGGAUAACUGUAACGUGGAGACAGAAGUGGGCCUGGGUAUGGGUUCUAAGCAAUAUGUGUAUGUGGUGUGUCUGUACGUGGUGUGGGGCAAGGGGAGAAUGUGAGCUGGUGAGUUUUGUUAGGUGGUAGGCAGUGGGGAGAUGUUAGCAUAUCUGGGAUUCCUGCUGAAUUCUCUGAGGUGACACAGGCCAAGGUCAUUGUCACUUGCCGAAAGAGCAAAGAAGGGCAGUAGAGGACGAGUCAAAAGAGUUGGGUCUGUCUUCAGAGAAGACCGCUGAUCCAUGUCCAGCUGACUGCCCUGCCCUGACUCUGCACACAGCCUGGGAAAAUAAAUACAACCUUUGGAAGGCCUGGUGAUGUGUCUGGGGAAGAUACCACAGCUGGUAGCUCAUGUGAGCACUGCCCUGCCUUUGACCAGGAGUUGCGGUGGCUGAGGCCAGUGGCUUUGCUGCCUCUCACUGGUCUUAGAUGUUUACUUCGAAGCUGCAGCCCCGCUCCAGAGCUUCCAGACCCUCCCUGCUAAGCAGGGUUAGCCCAAGUGCAAAUUGGCAUCUCGUGGAACUCCAGGCUGGAGAAGGAAAUUUUCCGAACUUCUAAGGCCAUGCCACAUUCAGGCAGCUGAUCUCUAGAGGAACACAGCUUUAACUUGGGUUGGUUCCUCCCUGUCCCACCUCUCGGUGUGCCUCUCUACUCAGAACAGGCCAUAUGUCCCUCCCACCUUCAGCAUCACCCCUUAGAUAAUGUGAUCCCGUCUGCGUCUUCCCUCACUCCAUGCUGAAGACACCCUG
ensembl:lncRNA